CCUGUUGUAGUCUAGUUGGUUUAGGAUACUCGGCUUCUCACCCGAGAGACCGGGUUCAAUUCCGGCAACGGAA
rnacentral:tRNA from 1 species